rnacentral:rRNA from 1 species
AACGAACGCUGGCGGCAGGCUUAACACAUUCAAGCCGAGCGCCCCGCAAGGGGAGCGGCAGACGGGUGAGUAACACGUGGGAACAUACCCAUCUCUGCGGAACAACUCCGGGAAACUGGAGCUAAUACCGCAUACGCCCUUCGGGGGAAAGAUUUAUCGGAGAUGGAUUGGCCCGCGUUGGAUUAGCGAGUUGGUGGGGUAAAGGCCUACCAAGGCGACGAUCCAUAGCUGGUCUGGGAGGAUGAUCAGCCACAUUGGGACUGAGACACGGCCCAAACUCCUACGGGAGGCAGCAGUGGGGAAUAUUGGACAAUGGGCGCAAGCCUGAUCCAGCCAUGCCGCGUGAGUGAUGAAGGCCUUAGGGUUGUAAAGCUCUUUCACCGAUGAAGAUAAUGACGGUAGUCGGAGAAGAAGCCCCGGCUAACUUCGUGCCAGCAGCCGCGGUAA